CACACUAUCAUUAACUGAAUCCAUAGGUUAAUGAGGCGAACCGGGGGAACUGAAACAUCUAAGUACCCCGAGGAAAAGAAAUCAACCGAGAUUCCCCCAGUAGCGGCGAGCGAACGGGGAGGAGCCCAGAGCCUGAAUCAGUGUGUGUGUUAGUGGAAGCGUCUGGAAAGGCGCGCGAUACAGGGUGACAGCCCCGUACACAAAAAUGCACAUACUGUGAGCUCGAUGAGUAGGGCGGGACACGUGGUAUCCUGUCUGAAUAUGGGGGGACCAUCCUCCAAGGCUAAAUACUCCUGACUGACCGAUAGUGAACCAGUACCGUGAGGGAAAGGCGAAAAGAACCCCGGCGAGGGGAGUGAAAAAGAACCUGAAACCGUGUACGUACAAGCAGUGGGAGCCUCUUAAUGGGGUGACUGCGUACCUUUUGUAUAAUGGGUCAGCGACUUAUAUUCUGUAGCAAGGUUAACCGAAUAGGGGAGCCGAAGGGAAACCGAGUCUUAACUGGGCGUUAAGUUGCAGGGUAUAGACCCGAAACCCGGUGAUCUAGCCAUGGGCAGGUUGAAGGUUGGGUAACACUAACUGGAGGACCGAACCGACUAAUGUUGAAAAAUUAGCGGAUGACUUGUGGCUGGGGGUGAAAGGCCAAUCAAACCGGGAGAUAGCUGGUUCUCCCCGAAAGCUAUUUAGGUAGCGCCUCGUGAAUUCAUCUCCGGGGGUAGAGCACUGUUUCGGCAAGGGGGUCAUCCCGACUUACCAACCCGAUGCAAACUGCGAAUACCGGAGAAUGUUAUCACGGGAGACACACGGCGGGUGCUAACGUCCGUCGUGAAGAGGGAAACAACCCAGACCGCCAGCUAAGGUCCCAAAGUCAUGGUUAAGUGGGAAACGAUGUGGGAAGGCCCAGACAGCCAGGAUGUUGGCUUAGAAGCAGCCAUCAUUUAAAGAAAGCGUAAUAGCUCACUGGUCGAGUCGGCCUGCGCGGAAGAUGUAACGGGGCUAAACCAUGCACCGAAGCUGCGGCAGCGACACUAUGUGUUGUUGGGUAGGGGAGCGUUCUGUAAGCCUGUGAAGGUGUACUGUGAGGUAUGCUGGAGGUAUCAGAAGUGCGAAUGCUGACAUAAGUAACGAUAAAGCGGGUGAAAAGCCCGCUCGCCGGAAGACCAAGGGUUCCUGUCCAACGUUAAUCGGGGCAGGGUGAGUCGACCCCUAAGGCGAGGCCGAAAGGCGUAGUCGAUGGGAAACAGGUUAAUAUUCCUGUACUUGGUGUUACUGCGAAGGGGGGACGGAGAAGGCUAUGUUGGCCGGGCGACGGUUGUCCCGGUUUAAGCGUGUAGGCUGGUUUUCCAGGCAAAUCCGGAAAACUAAGGCUGAGGCGUGAUGACGAGGCACUACGGUGCUGAAGCAACAAAUGCCCUGCUUCCAGGAAAAGCCUCUAAGCAUCAGGUAACAUCAAAUCGUACCCCAAACCGACACAGGUGGUCAGGUAGAGAAUACCAAGGCGCUUGAGAGAACUCGGGUGAAGGAACUAGGCAAAAUGGUGCCGUAACUUCGGGAGAAGGCACGCUGAUAUGUAGGUGAAGCGACUUGCUCGUGGAGCUGAAAUCAGUCGAAGAUACCAGCUGGCUGCAACUGUUUAUUAAAAACACAGCACUGUGCAAACACGAAAGUGGACGUAUACGGUGUGACGCCUGCCCGGUGCCGGAAGGUUAAUUGAUGGGGUUAGCGGUAACGCGAAGCUCUUGAUCGAAGCCCCGGUAAACGGCGGCCGUAACUAUAACGGUCCUAAGGUAGCGAAAUUCCUUGUCGGGUAAGUUCCGACCUGCACGAAUGGCGUAAUGAUGGCCAGGCUGUCUCCACCCGAGACUCAGUGAAAUUGAACUCGCUGUGAAGAUGCAGUGUACCCGCGGCAAGACGGAAAGACCCCGUGAACCUUUACUAUAGCUUGACACUGAACAUUGAGCCUUGAUGUGUAGGAUAGGUGGGAGGCUUUGAAGUGUGGACGCCAGUCUGCAUGGAGCCGGCCUUGAAAUACCACCCUUUAAUGUUUGAUGUUCUAACGUUGGCCCCUGAUCGGGGUUGCGGACAGUGUCUGGUGGGUAGUUUGACUGGGGCGGUCUCCUCCUAAAGAGUAACGGAGGAGCACGAAGGUUGGCUAAUCCUGGUCGGACAUCAGGAGGUUAGUGCAAUGGCAUAAGCCAGCUUGACUGCGAGCGUGACGGCGCGAGCAGGUGCGAAAGCAGGUCAUAGUGAUCCGGUGGUUCUGAAUGGAAGGGCCAUCGCUCAACGGAUAAAAGGUACUCCGGGGAUAACAGGCUGAUACCGCCCAAGAGUUCAUAUCGACGGCGGUGUUUGGCACCUCGAUGUCGGCUCAUCACAUCCUGGGGCUGAAGUAGGUCCCAAGGGUAUGGCUGUUCGCCAUUUAAAGUGGUACGCGAGCUGGGUUUAGAACGUCGUGAGACAGUUCGGUCCCUAUCUGCCGUGGGCGCUGGAGAACUGAGGGGGGCUGCUCCUAGUACGAGAGGACCGGAGUGGACGCAUCACUGGUGUUCGGGUUGUCAUGCCAAUGGCACUGCCCGGUAGCUAAAUGCGGAAGAGAUAAGUGCUGAAAGCAUCUAAGCACGAAACUUGCCCCGAGAUGAGUUCUCCCUGACUCCUUGAGAGUCCUGAAGGAACGUUGAAGACGACGACGUUGAUAGGCCGGGUGUGUAAGCGCAGCGAUGCGUUGAGCUAACCGGUACUAAUGAACCGUGAGGCUUAACCUUACAACGCCGAAGGUGUUU
rnacentral:rRNA from 1 species